rnacentral:rRNA from 1 species
AAUAGAUACCCUGGUAGUCCACGCUGUAAACGUUGGGCGCUAGGUGUGGGGGGCCUCUCCGGUUCUCUGUGCCGCAGCUAACGCAUUAAGCGCCCCGCCUGGGGAGUACGGCCGCAAGGCUAAAACUCAAAGGAAUUGACGGGGACCCGCACAAGCGGCGGAGCAUGCGGAUUAAUUCGAUGCAACGCGAAGAACCUUACCUGGGUUUGACAUGGCCGCAAAACCGGCAGAGAUGUCGGGUCCUUCGGGGGCGGUCACAGGUGGUGCAUGGCUGUCGUCAGCUCGUGUCGUGAGAUGUUGGGUUAAGUCCCGCAACGAGCGCAACCCUCGUUCGAUGUUGCCAGCGCGUUAUGGCGGGGACUCAUCGAAGACUGCCGGGGUCAACUCGGAGGAAGGUGGGGAUGACGUCAAGUCAUCAUGCCCCUUAUGUCCAGGGCUUCACGCAUGCUACAAUGGCCGGUACAAUGGGCUGCGAUACCGUGAGGUGGAGCGAAUCCCAAAAAGCCGGUCUCAGUUCGGAUCGGGGU